UACCCUGAUUACGUAUUGGCUUGUGUAAGUAAGCCAUGAAGAAGGAAAUACGAGGAAUCUCUGGGUAGUUUGAUAGUGGUGGUCAGUAGAUGGGUUUUGUACAUGUCGCCCGUCAAGCA
rnacentral:rRNA from 1 species